rnacentral:rRNA from 1 species
ACGGAAGGCAGCAGUGGGGAAUAUUGGGCAAUGGGCGAAAGCCUGACCCAGCGACGCCGCGUGAAGGAAGACGGUCUUCGGAUUGUAAACUUCUUUUAUAAGGGACGAUAGUGACGGUACCUUAUGAAUAAGCCACGGCUAACUACGUGCCAGCAGCCGCGGUAAUACGUAGGUGGCGAGCGUUAUCCGGAUUUACUGGGUGUAAAGGGUGUGUAGGCGGGACUGCAAGUCAGAUGUGAAAACUAUGGGCUCAACUCAUAGCCUGCAUUUGAAACUGUGGUUCUUGAGGGUCGGAGAGGUAACUGGAAUUCCUGGUGUAGCGGUGAAAUGCGUAGAUAUCAGGAGGAACACCGGUGGCGAAGGCGGGUUACUGGACGAUUACUGACGCUGAGACACGAAAGCGUGGGGAGCAAACAGGAUUAGAUACCCUGGUA